GUAGGCAAGGGAAGUCGGCA
rnacentral:siRNA from 1 species